rnacentral:rRNA from 1 species
UGUUGGAGAGUUUGAUCCUGGCUCAGGACGAACGCUGGCGGCGUGCUUAACACAUGCAAGUCGAGCGGAAAGGCCCUUCGGGGUACUCGAGCGGCGAACGGGUGAGUAACACGUGAGGAACCUGCCCUGGACUUUGGGAUAACCCUCGGAAACGGGGCUAAUACCGAAUACGACACGGUCUCGCAUGAGAUCCGUGUGGAAAGUUUUUCGGUCUGGGAUGGUCUCGCGGCCUAGUCAG